rnacentral:rRNA from 1 species
UUGGAGGGCAAGUCUGGUGCCAGCAGCCGCGGUAAUUCCAGCUCCAAUAGCGUAUAUUAAAGUUGUUGCAGUUAAAAAGCUCGUAGUUGAAUUUCGGGAUCAAAUAAUCGGUCGUGCCUCCGGUACGUACUGGUUUUAUUGGUUCCUCCCUUCUGACGAACCAUGAUGUCAUUAAUUUGAUGUGGUGGAGAAUCAGGACUGUUACCUUGAAAAAAUUAGAGUGUUUAAAGCAGGCUAACGCUUGAAUACAUUAGCAUGGAAUAAUGAAAUAGGACGUUCGACCCUAUUUUGUUGGUUUCUAGGAUCGACGUAAUGAUUAAUAGGGAUAGUUGGGGGCAUUAGUAUUCAAUUGUCAGAGGUGAAAUUCCUGGAUUUAUUGAAGACUAACUAUUGCGAAAGCAUUUGCCAAGGAUGUUUUCAUUAAUCAAGAACGAAAGUUAGGGGAUCGAAGACGAUCAGAUACCGUCGUAGUCUUAACCAUAAACUAUGCCGACUAGGAAUCGGGCGUCGUUAUUUUAAUGACUCGCUCGGCGCCUUACGGGAAAC